UGGCUUCUGACCGGGUACCUUGGUCAGGGGCGAGACAAUAGGGUACUGGCGUUCGGUAUAGCGUGUGGCUGCGCGAUACCGGAGGCGAGACUCAAAUCAGACCACUAAACAUGUAGAUCUGCUCGAGGAUGGCUUGCGGACGGGGGUUCAAAUCCCCCCAGCUCCACCA
rnacentral:tmRNA from 1 species